GUUUUGUUUUUUGAUCCAAUCUGCCAGCCUGUGCCUUCUGAUUGGGAGUUGAGACCACUGAGACUGAGAGUUAUUAUUGUAAGAAAGUUUGUUCCAACUUAUGACCUCAGCAGAAAGACCCUGAGCCAUGUCUCCAUGGAUCUUUGCCAGCUCAGUGAACUGACAGAUGCUUGGUGUUUGCCAAUCUGAUAGGUGGAAAUGCCACCGUGAGGUGAGCAGCUUCUCUGCCCUGUGUUCCCUCCAUGAUGUCCUGCCUUGCCACAGGCCCGAAAGGAAUAGGGCCAGGCGGCUAUGGACUGAAACCUCCAAAACCUUGCUCGGGAAAUGCUGAAUGGACGCAUGAGUGGCAAAUUCGUAAUCCCCUCCCGGAGGGCCAGGGUCGAAAGAGCAACGAAGCCUCCGCCCAGGUUUCCAAUCCCAGCUGCGAUGCUCACGGGCUACAGAGCCUUGGCGAAGUUGCACGGCUCCUCAGGGCUCAGGUUCUUCAUCUGUGAAGUGAAAACAGCAAGGCCCUGUGGACAGAACGGGUCCCACCCCGGCCUUGCACCCAGAGGACCCGAGUGUCUCCUACCGUACCUUCCUCUGCCCUCACCCUAGGAGUGGCCCAAAGCUUUGGGGCGGCUCUGGUGCAGAAGGGACAGGAAUGGCCAAGGCCAAGAGGACACAGACUGGGGCUCUGAAUCUGACGGGCCGGAGUCAAGGGCUGGGGCAGAGGACUCGGGAAGUGUGGGAUUGAGGCAUGGCCCUGGGGACAGAGAUGAGGGAACCCCAUCCCACCCAGGCCUGGCGGGGUGCUGGGCCGUUGUCUCCCCCGGUCGGUCCUGAGCUCUGCUUCCAAGAGUGGGCGGUCCUGCCCUGCCACUCCAGGGGGAAGAGGCUGGGGUGCAGCUCGGGGAGAGGAGCCGGGACCCAGUUGCCGACGGUGUUCGCCUGCUCCCUGGUGGAAUAUUACACUGCAGGAACACAGAGAAGAAAGUUGUUCAGUCUGACAAGGCCAAGGCAGAAGGCUCCAUGGAGAAGAUGAAGAGCAGACGAAUCCUUGGCCUGUCUAGCUCCCAUCCUGCCCUGGGGCCCAGCCAGAACUGCCCUCCCCAGCUCUGGAGCCUUUCCUGGGUUUGGCUUCUGGCCAGAGAAUUGCAGGGCCUGCCCUCCUCCAUGGGGGGAGGCAUAGGGAGGGAAUUCUGGGCUGGGCCCUGCUGUCCAGGCCCAGCCCUUGGGUCCUGGAGGAGGGGUAGUGGGGACCACGACAGGCCCCUGAUGAAGUGAGCAGCUUGCAGCCUGGGGUCGCCUGCUGUGUCAGGAGAGAUCUCCGUCCAUCUGGGAGACCCGGAUGCUGGGUCCCCAUCCUUUGAGGAGUCUCUGCCUUCGCUGACCUCUGUCCUUCCACACCUGCUUCCUGGCAUCCUUGGCUGGGGCUGUGUGCUCGGCCCCGGGGUCUGAAGACUUGGGGUAAAGUGGACUCAGCCCUGCGUUUGCCCCAGGCUCCAGCCCAGGUGCCCAUUCCAGCCUUCUCUCCACUGCCCCCUCUGGACCCUUUCCUGAGUUCCGGGGGGUGGAGCGCCCUUGGUCCUGCUGGUCCUUAGCUCGAGGUUCCUGCCUCAGAGUGACAUUUGCACGGGCUAUCCUGGAAGAGGCCGGAUGGCCCUGUCACCCUCUGCCCAUCCAGUAUCUAACUCUGACACAGUGCUGUGUGCCCCAGGCAACCUGUGCCCUGUAGACGGCAGCUCAGAUGCUCCGGGUCCGGGUUCUGAUCCGAUCUGGUGUGCGGGCCCAGCACAAGGUGCUCCAGGUCCCAGAUGUGCUGGGAGCCCCUCCUGCGGCCAACCAUCCAGAGAAACCGCUGCACCACCGGCAGCGCAGUGCUGGGCAGAGGCCAGCGCUGAGGGGCCUGCUUGCUGCUGGGGUGGGGUGGGUUUCUGGGCCUUGGUGAACCUCGGCACCGGCAUGGAGUCCGGCCAGCGCUGUGCACAGCUCUCCCUCGGUCUGGCCGAGUCGCUGCAGGCCGGCUGGAGGAGGCUGGGCCUGGAGGACGCGUUCCCUCGGGAGGCCGGGUCCAGGGCUCAUUUCCUGGACGGCUCCUGGCAUCUGCUGGCCUCUGGCUUCUCGGGGUGCUUGGAAGCGCUUUGAGGAGUGAUGAGGUCAAGGGGUGCCUGGGGGUCCCUGGAGGUCAUGUCCAGGGAGGUGGGGACACCCUAGAGGUCCUGAGCCUUGCUGGGGACAGGGCAGCUUCCUGUGGGCACGCAGCCUGCCCAGGGGGCUGGCCCGCCGCUCCAGCCAUCCCCACGCACCGCCAUCCCCGCCUCGGGCCCACGGAGGCUUCUGGGCGCUGUUCUGCGGCUGCCUCGCUACUCCUCCGCCUGCCAGGCCAGAGGCUCAGCUAGGACAGGACGCUCCCUGCUGCGCCCCAGACCUGGCUCCCUGCGCACAGCGGGCUCCGGGUCGGCGGCGGAUGCGCACUGUGCUCCUCUCCAGGGGGACAGAGACCCGAACCCUUUGUCUGUCUCAGGUGUGGGGGCGCAGUGGGGAGGGGAGGAGCUCUGGCCACAGGGAUCCACUGGGGCUUUCCCAGGUCAUCUCUGGGGGCAGGGGCUCUGGGUCCGGGGUGCAUGUCCACUCCACACCCGGCUGACCCGGGGCCUCCUUGUCCUCCCCACGCCCCCUUUCUCUCUCUGCCGAGCUGAGAAGCCCUGGCUGGGGAGUGAGUGGGCAGGGCAGGGCGGGG
ensembl:lncRNA